rnacentral:rRNA from 1 species
GACGCUGGCGGUAUGCCUAACACAUGCAAGUCGUACGGAGGGUUUUUAACCCUAGUGGCGGACGGGUGAGUAACACGUGAGAAUUUGCCUUUAGGAGGGGGAUAACAAUCGGAAACGAAUGCUAAUACCCCAUAUGCUUUUGAGUAAAAUGGAUCUAUCCGCCUAAAGAGAAGCUCGCGGCUGAUUAGCUUGUUGGUGAGGUAAGAGCUUACCAAGGCGACGAUCAGUAUCUGGUUUGAGAGGACGAUCAGACACACUGGAACUGAGGCACGGUCCAGACUCCUACGGGAGGCAGCAGUGGGGAAUUUUCCGCAAUGGGCGAAAGCCUGACGGAGCAAUACCGCGUGAGGGAAGACUGCCUAUGGGUUGUAAACCUCUUUUUUCAGGGAGGAACAGAAUGACGUGUACCUGAAGAAUAAGCAUCGGCUAACUCCGUGCCAGCAGCCGCGGUAAGACGGAGGAUGCAAGUGUUAUCCGGAAUCACUGGGCGUAAAGCGUCUGUAGGUGGUUUAAUAAGUCAACUGUUAAAUCUUGAGGCUCAACUUCAAAAUCCGCAGUCGAAACUAUUAGACUAGAGUAUAGUAGAGGUAAAGGGGAAUUUCCAGUGGAGCGGUGAAAUGCGUAGAUAUUGGAAAGAACACCGAUGGCCGAAAGCACUUUUACUGGGCUAUUACUAAC